GCAUUAAUGGGGUAGUGGUAACCUGGGUCGUUGCCAUUCUACCUGAUAUCGACCCGCCGGGGGUUCGAUUCCCUCUUAAUGCA